CUACGGGGGGCACCAGUGAGGAAUAUUGCACAAUGGGGGGAACCCUGAUGCAGCAACGCCGCGUGGAGGAUGACGCAUUUCGGUGUGUAAACUCCUUUUAUAUGUCAAGAAAAUGACGGCAGCAUAUGAAUAAGCACCGGCUAACUCCGUGCCAGCAGCCGCGGUAAUACGGAGGGUGCAAGCGCUACUCGGAAUCACUGGGCGUAAAGGACGCGUAGGCGGGUUGGAAAGUCAGGUGUGAAAUCCUACAGCUUAACUGUAGAACUGCACUUGAAACUUCUAAUCUAGAGUAUGGGAGGGGGAGAUGGAAUUAGUGGUGUAGGGGUAAAAUCCGUAGAUAUCACUAGGAAUACCUAAAGCGAAGGCGAUCUCCUGGAACAUUACUGACGCUAAGGCGUGAAAGCGUGGGGAGCAAACAGGAUUAGAUACCCCCGUAGUC
rnacentral:rRNA from 1 species